rnacentral:rRNA from 1 species
UACGUAGGGUGCGAGCGUUAAUCGGAAUUACUGGGCGUAAAGUGUGCGAGGUGGCUUCGCAAGUCGAGUGUGAAAUCCCCGGGCUUAACCUGGGAAUUGCGCUCGAAACUACGGAGCUGGAGUAUGGCAGAGGGAGGUGGAAUUCCACGUGUAGCGGUGAAAUGCGUAGAGAUGUGGAGGAACACUAAUGGCGAAGGCAGCCUCCUGGGCCAAUACUGACACUCAUGCACGAAAGCGUGGGGAGCAAACAGG